CAGUAGGGAGGAAGGUAGUGUAGUUAACACCUGCAUUAUUUGACGUUACCUACAGAAGAAGCACCGGCUAACUCCGUGCCAGCAGCCGCGGUAAUACGGGAGGGUGCGAGCGUUAAUCGGAAUUACUGGGACGUAAAGCGCAUGCAGGCGGCCUGUUAAGUCAGAUGUAGAAAGGCCCGGGGACGUUAACCUACGGUAAAUUGCAUUUAGUAAACUGGCAGGCUAGAGUCUUGUAGAGGGGGGUAGGAAUUUCAGGUGUAGCGGUGAAAUGCGUAGAGAUCUGAAGGAAUACCAGUGGCGAAGGCGGCCCCCUGGACAAAGACUGACGCUCAGAUGCGAAAGCGUGGGGAGCAAACAGGAUUAGAUACCCUGGUAG
rnacentral:rRNA from 1 species